rnacentral:rRNA from 1 species
AUUGAACGCUGGCGGCAUGCCUUACACAUGCAAGUCGAACGGUAACAGGUUAAGCUGACGAGUGGCGAACGGGUGAGUAAUGCAUCGGAACGUGCCCGGUCGUGGGGGAUAACGCAGCGAAAGCUGCGCUAAUACCGCAUACGAUCUGAGGAUGAAAGCGGGGGACCGUAAGGCCUCGCGCGAUCGGAGCGGCCGAUGUCAGAUUAGGUAGUUGGUGGGGUAAAGGCUCACCAAGCCGACGAUCUGUAGCUGGUCUGAGAGGACGACCAGCAACACGGGGACUGAGACACGGCCCAGACUCCUACGGGAGGCAGCAGUGGGGAAUUUUGGACAAUGGGCGAAAGCCUGAUCCAGCAAUGCCGCGUGCAGGAAGAAGGCCUUCGGGUUGUAAACUGCUUUUGUACGGAGCGAAAAGGCCCUCUCUAAUACAGGGGGCUCAUGACGGUACCGUAAGAAUAAGCACCGGCUAACUACGUGCCAGCAGCCGCCGUAAAAC